rnacentral:lncRNA from 1 species
UCACCAUGUUGGCCAGGCUGGUCUGGAACUCCUGCCUUCAGGUGAUCCGCCUGCCUAGGCCUCCCAAAGUGCUGGGAUUAUAGGCAUGAGCCACUGCGCCAGGCAGAUUUUGAUUUUUAAAAGAUUGCUCUGUGUACACUGGGCUGUCACAGGAGAGGCAAGGCUGGCACAGGGAGGUCAGUCAGAUGAGAGCAAGUGAAGCCUCCAACCAGGGUCCUUGCCAGGGGUGGAGAUGUUGGCUGUGAAACAGAUUUUGUCUAUAGAUCCGACAGGACUGGAAGGGGCCUCUGAGGACAUGAGUGUUAGACAUAGUGUGUCUUUGAGGACUGGAAACUAGUAUUUAUUUGAGGACUUUCUUUUUCUUCUGUUGUGAAGAGGACCUCAACGAAAAGACGACAGAAAAUAAUGAGCAACGAGAAGAGAUCAUUCGCCUCAAACAAGAGAAAAGUUGCCUGCAUGAUGAAUUGCUUUUUACUGAGAGAGAAAAGAGGAAAGAUGAAUUGCUUAAUAUUGCAAAGUCAAAGCAAGAACGCACAAAUUCAGAACUGCACAAUCUGAGACAGAUUUAUGUAAAACAACAGAGUGAUCUGCAGUUUCUUAAUUUCAAUGUGGAAAAUUCUCAAGAAUUAAUACAGAUGUAUGACUCAAAGAUGGAGGACUCAAAGGCCCUGGACUCCAGGUAAUCUCAGCAAGAUGCAAUUAAUAUGAUCUUGUAUUAUAUUCCAUCAGUCAGUAUUGACUGUG